GAGGGAAGCYGUUGGGCGUCUGAGGCGCCAUGAGCGGCGGUGAGGGCAGGCGCUACCCGGGCCGGCGCUGUCGUGUUUACUAACGUUUCACAGCCAACAGAACUGGCUGGGUUGGACCGCUGUUCACAAACUGAUCUCAACCCUUCCGAUCAGCGAAAAGUCAAGCAAGUAGGACAUCCCCUUUCAACAGAGAUUUAGAUUCAGAACUUUAGUCUGCAUCUCAGCCUGAAAUACAAGACAACAACUAGCUUUUGGCAAAUGCCAUAAAAGCAGCCCUUGGGACCGAGCUAGAGGUUCCUCAGAUACUGUACCCCUAAGGAUUCAUCCUUUCUAAUCUUCUAUUGUGCUGCUCACCUAACAGCAAGCAAGGAACUGCCUCAGCUGGCACCAUGGACAGAGGCCCCCUAUGAAGUGGCUGCAGUUGUAGACCGUCCGUUCCUGACGUGUCUUACUCGUGUGGCUUGGAAACAUCCUUCCUAAGAAUAUAUACCCCAGU
rnacentral:lncRNA from 1 species